rnacentral:rRNA from 1 species
GAUGAACGCUGGCGGCGUGCCUAAUACAUGCAAGUCGAGCGAACGGACGAGAAGCUUGCUUCUCUGAUGUUAGCGGCGGACGGGCGAGUAACACGUGGAUAACCUACCUAUAAGACUGGGAUAACUUCGGGAAACCGGAGCUAAUACCGGAUAAUAUUUUGAACCGCAUGGUUCAAAAGUGAAAGACGGUCUUGCUGUCACUUAUAGGUGGAUCCGCGCUGCAUUAGCUAGUUGGUAAGGUAACGGCUUACCAAGGCAACGAUGCAUAGCCGACCUGAGAGGGUGAUCGGCCACACUGGAACUGAGACACGGUCCAGACUCCUACGGGAGGCAGCAGUAGGGAAUCUUCCGCAAUGGGCGAAAGCCUGACGGAGCAACGCCGCGUGAGUGAUGAAGGUCUUCGGAUCGUAAAACUCUGUUAUUAGGGAAGAACAUAUGUGUAAGUAACUGUGCACAUCUUGACGGUACCUAAUCAGAAAGCCACGGCUAACUACGUG